rnacentral:misc_RNA from 1 species
GUGAAUCAUCAAAUUUUUGAACGCACAUUGCACUCUCUGGUAUUCCGGAGAGUAUGCCUGUUUGAGGGUCAGUUAAUUUAAACUUGGGGUUGUUACCUCCCUUUCGUGGUGGCGCACCGGACUUGAGUCGUCUUGCCUUCGGGUUAGGGGACUUAAAUUUUUUGUGUGUUAUCUAAAAUGUAUUUAAUUGUUUGGUACGUUUGUU